rnacentral:lncRNA from 1 species
UUGGGUGAUUCUGAAUCACCACUCCACAUUUGCUCAUCUAUUGCAAUUGGAAUGUCAACUAUGGAAAGCUUACUAUUGUCAUGAUGUAGAUUAUCACACUCUUUUUCUUGAAGUGGAUUCUUAAUCUGAUCAAUACUGUCCAUCUCAUCUGUAGUGCUGUUGUCACUUAUUUGAGGUGGGUUAUGAUUUUUUGUUGCAUUCUUCUUCUGAUCUAGAACUAAAUUCAUACCUUUUUGCCUUGCAGAUUCCUUAUUGGCUACUGCUAUUAGCUGGCAACUCAUU